rnacentral:rRNA from 1 species
GAUGAACGCUAGCGGCAGGCCUAACACAUGCAAGUCGAGGGGUAGAGGAAGCUUGCUUCCUUGAGACCGGCGCACGGGUGCGUAACGCGUAUGCAAUCUACCUUUUACAGAGGGAUAGCCCAGAGAAAUUUGGAUUAAUACCUCAUAGUAUCUUUGCCUGGCAUCGGGUGAUUAUUAAAGUUCCAACGGUAAAGAUGAGCAUGCGUCCUAUUAGCUAGAUGGUAAGGUAACGGCUUACCAUGGCAACGAUAGGUAGGGGUCCUGAGAGGGAGAUCCCCCACACGGGUACUGGGACACGGACCAGACUCCUACGGGAGGCAGCAGUGAGGAAUAUUGGACAAUGGGCGCAAGCCUGAUCCAGCCAUGCCGCGUGCAGGAAGACGGUCCUAUGGAUUGUAAACUGCUUUUGUACGGGAAGAAACACUCCUACGUGUAGGAGCUUGACGGUACCGUAAGAAUAAGGAUCGGCUAACUCCGUGCCAGCCGCCGCCGUAACAC